rnacentral:tRNA from 1 species
CAUUAAGAAGCUAUGUAUCAGCACUAGCCUUUUAAGCUAGGCAGAGAGGAAAUCUUCCUCCUUAAUGG